rnacentral:lncRNA from 1 species
GAACACAUCCCCGUUGGUGAUAUUGAACGCCUGGUUCUUGGCAGCCGGAUGCGUGGCAGCCCAGAUCUCCUGCUCGGCAAUCAGAUCCGCAUCGGAUGCAUCCGUCAGGCCCUCCCACGCUGCCCUGCUCCCGAAGAAUCGGAAUGGCAGCUUGUCGCGCUUGCAGAUCGCGGCGUAGACGGCCAUCGUCAGGAUGCAGUUCAUAUAGUUCCUGGGCGCGAAUCCGAAGAUGGUGCUGGGGCGGUGGAUCGAAUACGUGAGAUGCGGGUGCUGCUUCACCCUGUCGAACAGGAGAUCUUCCUGGACGUAGUAGAAGAUGGGGACCGGAAGCCUGGGAUAGUCUUCGCGAAACGGAACCUCCGCGCGCGAGAGAUCUUUCCCGAACUGUUCGAACGGCCCUACGUAGUGCUUCCCCCCCGUGGUCAGGCAGACAUGGCGGAGCGCUCCUGGAAGCAGAGCGUCGAGGGUGUUGCGGAAGAUCGUCCCAUUCGCAUCGCAGUUCUCCUCCUCCGUUUUCAUGGGGAUCCAGGCCGCCCAGAAGAGAGUCGUGAUGCGGUUCUUGAGCGGCGACAGCUUGGUCUGCACAUCCACCCCAUCCAGCAGAUCCAGCUGCACGUAGCUCACCUUGCUGGGCAGCCAGUCAGGGCGAUCGCGGCGCCCCGUGCCGUAGACUUGCCAGGAUCCCUGCUCCAGGAGCUUGCGGCAGAUGCUGUUUCCAUUGAUGCCGGUCACGCCGACCACAAUCGCCACACGCUCUUCCGCCAUAGCCACGCACAAACACUGUGCCAAGUGGAGUUAAAUACUGGUUUGGGGAUCGAAUCCCGCCGCAUGCAUUGGUGGUGCCGUGGGGAGAUUUUUCUGGGCUCUGGAAGAAUCAUCUACUUGUAUACAUAGUCUGGUGCAUUGCAUCUGAUCAGUUUUUUUAAUCAUUUUAUAAAAUAACUGACAAUUGCUUUCUAAUUGAAGUUUAACAGACAACUUGCAACCCGUUAUUCUUCAACAGAUAAUACGUACCAUUUUUGGUUCGAGUGUCAUGAACGAACCUCAGCAACGGGUGCUUCUGAGAACAAUUCCUCUCCCAGGCCAUCUAGCGAGCACCAGGUUCUUCUUUGAGAACAAAGGCGCCUAAGAAAUCAUUUUUUCACUAUGACUUCCUCUCCUAGCUCUUUAGAAAGCAGGUUUCGCUGUGGAGGCGCUCGAGGUCGCUUCCAAGGUUGAGAAACGAUCCUUCGGAAAAUGAAACGCGUCUUUCUGAAUCUUUCCUGCAUAUCAAGAAGGAUAUUAGUGUCUCUCAACCCAAACAAGAUCUGGCCGCUACCUCGGACACUUUUGAAAGCAUAAACACCUGCAAAAGAAAUAACGAAGACUCAAUACUUCAUUAUUUCCUUAUUGCCCAAAAACUUUACCAGCAUUGAUUGUCGGUAGCCUAAGAACAAAAAGAGAAAUAAAAAGAUCAUGCAUCUGGAAUCAAAGGGUUUAGGGUUCCUGAGAGAAACACCACGUAGAUGGUCUUUCACAAAGUUAUAUGGGGACAGAACGCAACUCCUGCGACCACAGAACUAAGGCACGAUCUUUUCCGCCUUGAGCACCUGGAUCCAGUGCCGCACAGACUUCUCGCUGUUUCGAAAUCCCAGAAACCCGAGCUCCUUGCUCUUGUUCAUGUUGCUCAAGUUCUCCACUGCACGCUCGAACAUUGUAUCCAGGAACCAAAACUGCCCAACAUCUUGAAACUUUGUGGGCAGCAGCUUAUGCUCGCGCACAAGCGCAUCCCAGGCCCCAUCUCUCCCCUUCAUCAGACUCUCCAGGUUGAAGCUCUCGCCGUCGAACGGGACAGGAUCCACCCCCAUCUCGUCCGCGAUCACAGCCCAGACGUGCUUCCAUUUGAACACAUCCCCGUUGGUGAUAUUGAGCGCCUGGUUCUUGGCAGCCGGAUGCGUGGCAGCCCAGAUCUCCUGCUCGGCAAUCAGAUCCGCAUCGGAUGCACACGUCAGGCCCUCCCAUGUCGCCCUGCUCCCGAAGAAUCGGAAUGGCAGCUUGUCGCGCUUGCAGAUCGCGGCGUAAACGACCAGCGCCAGGAUGCAAUUCAUAUAGCUCCUGGGCGCGAAUCCG